rnacentral:rRNA from 1 species
UACGUAGGGACCGAGCGUUGUCCGGAAUCAUUGGGCGUAAAGAGCGUGUAGGCGGCCACUUAAGUCCUGCGUGAAAUCUUGCGGCUCAACCGCAAGCGGUCGUGGGAAACUGGGUGGCUAGAGUGCGGGAGAGGGACGUGGAACUCCGGGAGUAGCGGUGAAAUGCGUAGAGACCCGGAGGAACACCAGUGGCGAAGGCGGCGUCCUGGCCUGCGACUGACGCUGUGGCGCGAAAGCUAGGGGAGCGAACGGG